rnacentral:rRNA from 1 species
GACGGGUGAGUAAUACAUCGGAACGUACUUAUCGUGGGGGAUAACGCAUGAAGCUGUGCUAAUACCGUUACGCCUGAGGGGGAAAGCGGGGGAUCGCAAGACCUCGCGCGAUUAGAGCGGCGAUGCCUGAUUAGCUUGUUGGGGGGGUAAAAGCCCACCAGGGGACAUCAGUAGCUGGUCUGAGAGGACGAUCAGCCACACUGGGACUGAGACACGGCCAGACUCCUACGGGAGGCAGCAGUGGGGAAUUUGGACCAAUGGGGGCAACCCUGAUCCAGCAAUGCCGUGAGGUGAAGAAGGCCUUCGGGUUGUAAAGCUCUUUUGUCAGGAAGAAACACCGGCUCUAACACAGUCCGGGAAUGACGGUACCUGAAGAAUAAGCACCGGCUAACUACGUGCCAGCAAGCCGCGGUAAUACGUAGGGUGCGAGCGUUAAUCGGAAUUACUGGGCGUAAAGCGUGCGCAGGCGGUUGUACAAGACAGGCGUGAAAUCCCCGGGCUUAACCUUGGGAAUGGCGCCUGUGACUGUACGACUAGAGUGUGUCAGAGGGGGGUAGAAUUCCACGUGUAGCAGUGAAAUGCGUAGAUAUGUGGAGGAAUACCAAUGGCGAAGGCAGCCCCUGGGAUAGCACUGACGCUCAUGCACGAAAGCGUGGGGAGCAAACAGGAUUAGAUACCCUGGUAGUCCACGCCCUAAACGAUGCUGACUAGUUGUUCGGGAUUUACAUCCUGAGUAACGUAGCUAACGCGUGAAGUCAGCCGCCUGGGGAGUACGGUCGCAAGAUUAAAACUCAAAGGAAUUGACGGGGACCCGCACAAGCGGUGGAUGAUGUGGAUUAAUUCGAUGCAACGCGAAAAACCUUACCUACCCUUGACAUGUCACUAACGAAGUAGAGAUACAUUAGGUGCUCGUAAGAGAAAGUGAACACAGGUGCUGCAUGGCUGUCGUCAGCUCGUGUCGUGAGAUGUUGGGUUAAGUCCCGCAACGAGCGCAACCCUUGUCUUUAGUUGCUACGCAAGGGCACUCUAAAGAGACUGCCGGUGACAAACCGGAGGAAGGUGGGGAUGACGUCAAGUCCUCAUGGCCCUUAUGACCAGGGCUACACACGUGCUACAAUGGUCGGUACAGAGGGUUGCCAAGCCGCGAGGUGGAGCCAAUCCCGCAAAGCCGAUCGUAGUCCGGAUUGGAGUUU